UAGGGAAUCUUCCGCAAUGGGCGAAAGCCUGACGGAGCAACGCCGCGUGAGUGAUGAAGGUCUUCGGAUCGUAAAACUCUGUUUUUAGGGAAGAACAAAUGUGUAAGUAACUAUGCACGUCUUGACGGUACCUAAUCAGAAAGCCACGGCUAACUACGUGCCAGCAGCCGCGGUAAUACGUAGGUGGCAAGCGUUAUCCGGAAUUAUUGGGCGUAAAGCGCGCGUAGGCGGUUUUUUAAGUCUGAUGUGAAAGCCCACGGCUAAACCGUGGAGGGUCAUUGGAAACUGGAAAACUUGAGUGCAGAAGAGGAAAGUGGAAUUCCAUGUGUAGCGGUGAAAUGCGCAGAGAUAUGGAGAAACACCAGUGGCGAAGGCGACUUUCUGGUCUGUAACUGACGCUGAUGUGCGAAAGCGUGGGGAUCAAACAGG
rnacentral:rRNA from 1 species